CCUAACAAAUAAUAUUACAAGUAUAUUGUAUCUAUGGUAAAAGUGACCUUAUAUGUGGUGCUACAUGCUGAACAUGUAAUCAUGAGAACCUGUGUAGAAAAUGAUGGAUUAGAGAGAGAUAAAGGGACAUAACUGCACUCUUAAAAUCAAGAAAAUUUCCAACUUCACUGUCUACUUCUUUACAUACUGUAUAUGUAUAGAUCUGAAAUAUGCUCUAAUUAAGUAAACAACUCCCCAACAAGAUUUUGAAUACCUGUUCUCUUCUUACAUUCUAUUCUAUGCCAUCCUAAUAGUGAAAACUAAAGAUUCAUGCAAUUCAGUCAAAUGUCAAAGGGGAGGUGGCUUGUUUACAAGUACCACCCAUAAAUGAGAAAAUGGUGUUAACUGUGUUUUUUGUGUACAAAAUGUCUCUAAAAUGACUUAUUUCUCUAUCUGCAAGUAUUUUUUCAUAAAUAUGUAUCAUGGUGCUGAGAAGAAAUGUGAUCUACUGUACCUGAGACCUGCCAAUCAGUACAAUUUGUUAAUUACAUGUAGAACAUGUAAAACUACAUGUCAUCUAUGUAAAAAGAAUACACAGUAUAUGAAGUACCCCAAAUAACAUUAUUUUAACCACUAAGCUUAUUUACAUGUACUUACAUGUCACUAUGAUACUUGACCAGAUUCUGGUUUUCCAUAGUACUAAAGCAUAGCUUACCCCCCUUGACUCUGUUGUCUACCAUUGUGACACUAAUGUGAUACAUCUAUUGAAAUAAGGGGUUGUAUUACAUAUCUAAUACAUUUAUCUUGAUAAUAUUAAUGAAAUUGACUGAAUUCCAUGGGUUUCAAAAAAUGCCAUUCUCUUAAAGAAUUCUGACAUCUCAUGUCAUUGACGUCAACUCCCAUUUUUGACAAAUCUGACUUAUUCUGAGUGAAACUACACCAAUACAUCAUGUCGACCGCCCUAAAUGUGUACGCAAUAAAAUUAUUUAAAAAC